AAUUUGGUCCCCCCAUAGCUGAAAUUUGGAGGAAGCCAUAGCUUGGGUUUUGGCUAAGCUUUCAAGCUCAAUUGCCCGUUGAUGGCUCGAGAGCGAGCAUAUAUGUGUUAUGAGACAGAGGUAGCAAUGGAAACAUAUGUGACACCUUGUGUGCAAGGUUUCCCGAGUAUCCGAUAUUAUUAUUUCGAGUGUUUCAUUGGGUUUGUCAAUGAUGAGAAUAAGUAUGAACUUAUUACGAGAUGGUACAGUGUUACCAAGCUAACUCGGCUUGGAGGUCAUCGGAGAUCGUAUCACACUAUCAAACUGUCAUUUUGGGCAUCGAUGAUUUUAAAAUUUUGAGUAUAUGGCAUGUAUAAGGACUUGGUCAUUUUGUUAUAUGUGUCAUCAUGAUUUUGGCCAAAUGUAUUGGCUUGUAAUUGUCAAAGGCUUGAUUUGGUAUUUGUCCAUGUAAAUGGGCUCAUUUUGGUUAAA